UACGAUGAGGAAAUUUCAAAC
rnacentral:piRNA from 1 species